rnacentral:snRNA from 1 species
GAAAAUACACAAAAAUGAAGACUA